rnacentral:ncRNA from 1 species
ACAUUACAUUAAUUUCACUCAUAUAAUAGCGGGAAUAUGGCUCGCAAGUUUCUACCAACUUACCGUAAAUAAGUUGACUAUGAGAGGCAAUGUUUA